UACGGGGGGGGCAAGCGUUGUUCGGAAUUACUGGGCGUAAAGGGCUCGUAGGCGGCCAACUAAGUCAGACGUGAAAUCCCUCGGCUUAACCGGGGAACUGCGUCUGAUACUGGAUGGCUCGAGUUUGGGAGAGGGAUGCGGAAUUCCAGGUGUAGCGGUGAAAUGCGCAGAUAUCAGGAGGAACACCGGUGGCGAAGGCGGGUCUCUGGGCCGAUACUGACGCUGAGGAGCGAAAGCGUGGGGAGCGAACAGG
rnacentral:rRNA from 1 species